GCGGCCGUAGUCUAGUCUGGUAGGAUGGCGGCCUGCCACGCCGCAGAACCCGGGUUCAAAUCCCGGCGGCCGCACCA
rnacentral:tRNA from 4 species